AAAAUCAGUCAGAGGCUGUGAGUUAGAGUUUGAGCUGCUCGUGAUGAUCCAGGAUGUUUCUAUGCAGUGUCUGGCUCAUUCUUCUCUUUUCAGGUGAUGCGGGUGGAGAAGGAAUAGCUCCUCUCUACUCAUCUGAACUUGCUAACAAUGGUGACUCCAUUACUUUGACCUGUAAUUACAAUGGGUCUUACAGCAGUGAUUCCCUCCUGUGGUAUCGUCAGUACAGCAACACCAAACCUCAGUUUUUGUUUCUGGUUAGUGACUCCAACCUUGAGCAGCCAGCUGACCCUCCAAUUCCUGGAGUGUCUGCCACAGUAAAUGAGAAAAAAAACCGUGUGGAUCUGAAGAUCUCCUCUUCUUCAGUAUCAGACUCUGCAAUGUACUACUGUGCCCUGAAGCCCACAGUGAAAGGAAACACAUCAACACUGUACAAAAUGAAAGGGAAAACAACUAAAUUAACAACCUGAUGAGCUAUACUAAACAAAACAAAAAAAAAUUAUAUGUCUUUGUAUUGUAUGAUGCUCUAAAAAUAUAUUUGCACAAUGCUGCAGCCACAAACUGGACACAACCAGAAAGCUUAGCAGAAGGUCAAGCAAUCAUACAUUUUGUUGAAGUGUUAUCAGGUAAAAACAAAUGAGCAUGUCUAUUAUACAAGGUUUUCUUUAUCAAGUAUUUCUUGAGAUUAGACUGUUACUAGUAAAUCUAGUGGCAAAAGCUCUGAAAGAAAAACACGUUGAUAAAUAUCAACUAAAGAGACAGACCCUAGUCUCAGAGAUGCAGUCAUCUUGAUUUUGGCAUCCGGUACAUCAAGCAUUAUGUUUAUCUUCACACUUAUUAGUUCAUGGAUUCAUCUGGGUGAG